CUUUCGGCUCCCUCUCCGAACACCUCUCCUCUGCUGGGAGGAGAUGAAGCAUCUCAAGGGCCUGGCCCCGUCCUGCAAGGACAAACUGGGCUGCUGGGUUCACAAGAAUAGGCUAGUAUUCUUCGGUGGCUACGGAUACAUGGCACAAGGAGCUCACAGAGGGACAUUUGAAUACGAUUAAACUUCAUUCAUGGGAGAUAAUCCGGGGUGGGGCUGGAACAACCACAUUCACAUCCUGGACCUGUUCAUCUGGAGCCAGCCAGUCACCAAGGUAACAGCAUUCCCUUAAAUCAUGUCACAACUUUCUGUGUUGGAAGCCAUUUUGCACAUCUGUUUCAAUGGGAGCUCCAGUCUCACCUCUCUAUUCCCCUUUUCUAUUGAAGGGUAAUGCCCCAUCUCCCCGGGCAGCACAUGCCUGUGCCAAGGUGGGCAACCGAGGCUAUGUAUUUGGGGGGCGUUACAGGGAAAGUAGGAAUGUUCUGAAAAGAGAUUACUCAAGUUCCUGCUGAGUUUACGGUCACACUGUCUAAUGUGAAAUUGUAUCACGGGCCUGUAGAUAGAUGUUGACCAUGUUCAUUUCUAUGACCUAUCACAUAAAGGAUCUUGUAUUCUAAAUGUUUGAUGCUUUGUCUCUUUUACAACAGGAUUACCGCCUGAACGACUUGCACUACAUCGACAUGGGGAGUGGCAUGAAAUGUAGUCCUCAUCCAAAAUGUCUUCAUGCAUGUUAUAGCAUUAAACACCUUUUUUUAGGGGAGGGGGCUGUGCUCUAACCCAUAGAUGUUCCUCUGUUCACCUUUAUGGGACUAACCCUUUACCCCGGUCCUAUUUCCCCUUGACCUUCCCUUGCCCCUCUACAGGAGUGUUCCUCAGCAGGGUCCUGUGGGACGCUUAUGGCACUCCCUCACCCCCGUGUCACCUGAUCACAUUUUCCUGUUCGGAGGCUUCACAACAUAUAGAGACACUGAGUGAGUGAAGAGUACUUCCUUAUCCAUUUUCCUUGAGUCCAUGGCAUGACCAAAUGUUUUUAUUUCUCCAUC